GGAUUAUAUUUAAAAUUAAAGAAUUUGGCGGUGUUUUAUCUUAAUAGAGGAACUUGUCCUUUGAUCGAUAGACCACGUUAUAUCUAACCUUAUUUUAAGUUUAUAUACCGUUGUUGUUAGAUUACUUGUUUACAAAGAUUAAGUUUUCUUCUUAAAUUUGUUUUGCUACUUCAAAUCAAGGUGUAGUAUAUGGUGGGGGUUGAGAUGAGUUACUUUGAGUUAGGAACUGAGCAUUAUUUGAAAUUUUUUGUGAGGUAGGAUUUACUAGUAAAUUUUUAUUAAUAAAAAUAGUUGAAAUGAGAUCUAUAACAUGUACAUAUCGCCCGUCACUCCGGUUUUAACAUUGGAUAAGUCGUAACAAAGUAGGGGUAAGGGAACUUGCCCCUGGAUG
rnacentral:rRNA from 1 species